rnacentral:misc_RNA from 1 species
AAGAGAAANAAAGUGGUAAACAGGGUUNCGGAAGGGGAACCNGNAAGAAAUUAAUUAANAAUNGGGNAAAUGGAACAAAAGGGGGUUUUUUUUGAAACAAAACGGGGNUUGGGGGGGGGCCCCAGCCGGGCGGCCCAGAGGUUUAAACUAUACAACCCAAUUUUUUAAAUCAAUUGUGUAAACACCCAGAAUAAUUAUUAAUAGUCAAAACUUUCAACAACGGAUCUCUUGGUUCUCGCAUCGAUGAAGAACGCAGCGAAAUGCGAUACGUAAUAUGAAUUGCAGAUAUUCGUGAAUCAUCGAAUCUUUGAACGCACAUUGCGCCCUCUGGUAUUCCGGAGGGCAUGCCUGUUUGAGUCGUCGUUUCUCCCUCAAACCGCUGGGUUUGGUGUUGAGCAAUACGACUUGGGUUUGUCUUGAAAGACGGUAGUGGUAAGGCGGGAUCGCUUUGACAAUGGCUUAGGUCUAACCAAAAACAUUGUCUUGCGGCGGUAACGUCUACCACGUAUAUCUUCAAACUUUGACCUCAAAUCAGGUCUCU